GUCUCAGUCAGGACACAGCAUGGACAUGAGAGUCCCCGCUCAGCUCCUUGGGCUCCUGCUGCUCUGGCUCCCAGGUGCCAGAUGUGACAUCCAGAUGACCCAGUCUCCAUCCUCCCUGUCUGCAUCUGUAGGAGACAGAGUGACCAUUACUUGCCAGGCGAGUCAAAGCCUUAGCAAUUAUUUAAAUUGGUAUCAGCAGAAACCAGGGAAAAUUCCUAAGCUCCUGAUCUAUGGUGCAUCCAGUUUGCAAAGUGGGAUUCCCUCUCGGUUCAGUGGCAGUGGAUCUGGGACGGAUUACACUCUCACCAUCAGCAGCCUGCAGCCUGAAGAUUUUGCCACUUAUUACUGUCAACAGGGUUAUAGUAACCCUCCCACAGUGUUACAAGUCAUAACAGAAACCCCCAAGGAAGCAGAUGUGUGAGGCUGUGCUGCCCCAGGGCUCCUUCUGGUGCCUCUGUCUGCUGAGGGCAUUUCUCACACUCAGUCAGGUUUUGAAAGUCAUUGGGAGAUUUUCCUAGAGGGGGCCAGGGAGGUUCCUCUGAACCCUAAGCCUCUUUCUCCCUCAUCCCCAGCAGAAAAGACGUGACAAUGUCUGUCUUGGCAGAAUAAAUAAGAGAGAUAAGU